rnacentral:lncRNA from 1 species
CAUCGCUCUUUCAAGAAGUAAAACAAAGACAUGAAGACAUUCGAUUUGUAGGUUUUAUUAUUUCUCUAAACUUUAAUUCGUCUAUUGAAGCAACAGAUCAAACAAAUAACUGCUGUUGCCUUGAAUAAUUCUCAAAGUCACAGGUAACUAAAAGUGACAUUACAACACGGCGAUGUACGUAGCACACUUGCGCGAUUGACAUCUGACUCUCGAGCUGGGAGCGCGGUGCACGCGAGAAGGGCAAAUGGCAUUUGGUUUAAAAUUUCAGCUCUUUCCGUGGCACAUAGUGAUGCAAUACUUAGCAGACACGAUCGUUAGCGCACAUAGUAUGCACUGCGCUUGUCAGUUCAAAAUGUUUAAAAUAUCUACAUGACAAAAUCAUUAUGCUCUCUAGUACCUAUUUUUUGUUCACUGUUAUUAGUAAGUACUAUAUAGGGUACCAGAUAAUCACCUCAUACUCAAGCGCCCCCAAGUGUUUCUUUCAACCUAUUCAAAUUAGUAUAAUUCCUAUACAUUUCUUACUCAAAUAUCAAAGCAAAUGCUACUCUAAUAGCUUUGUUUAUUCUUAUACAGUUACUUCACCCAACAUGCAAACAGUCAAACGAGAGAAGCACAAGUUGCUCACUCUU